rnacentral:rRNA from 1 species
CCUACGGGUGGCAGCAGUAGGGAAUAUUGCUCAAUGGGGGAAACCCUGAAGCAGCAACGCCGCGUGGAGGAUGAAGGUUUUCGGAUUGUAAACUCCUGUUGGUAGAGAAGAGAAUGACGGUAGCUAACGAAUAAGCACCGGCUAACGCCGUGCCAGCAGCCGCGGUAAUACGGAGGGUGCAAGCGUUACGCGGAAUCACUGGGCGUCAAGAGCGCGGAGGCGGGAUAGCAAGUCCGAUGGGAAAUCCUCUGGCUUAACCAUAGAACUGCAUUUGAAACUGUUAUUCUAGAGUAUGGGAGCGGUAGGUGGUAUUCUUUGUGUAGUCGUCACAUCC